GUUCAAGGGAUCUUCCCACCUUGGCCUCCCAGAGUGGAAGGAUUAUAGGCAUGAGCCACCAUGCCUGGCCAGAAUGAGAGAAUCUUACGAACAGGUUAUUGUGGAUGCACUAGAGCCUCACUUCAGGCUCCCCCUCAAAGCAGCAGAAAAUUCCUAAUGUUGAGAAAAGGAUCUUUCACUCCUUAUAACUAUAACACAACUUAAUUUUCUGACAACAUGGACUGGAUAACCUGAAAAUGAAUCACCACAAAAUACCAAAGGUCCCAGUCUGUGUCAUGUGGGUUGGCUACAACUAACAGAGAAAAUCUGCAGUCUCAAAGACUUGAAGAACAAGAGAGGAUGGCAACUACAGCCACUGGAAAAUGAGGCACUAACACUAUGGCUAAAGAAAGUGCGAUUUGAGCUGCCACUCACUGCAGAAGGUCAGUCAAGUAAACUGCCCACUAAACAAACAAGAUCUCUAUGCUGAAAAUUACAAAAUGCUCAUGAAAAAUCAAAGACGACCUAAAUUGAGAGAUAUGCCGUGGUUCAUGACUGGAAGACAACAUGGCUGGUUUUGAACUCCUGACCUCAAGCAAU